GGGUUGUGAGGUUAAGCGACUAAGCGUACACGGUGGAUGCCCUGGCAGUCAGAGGCGAUGAAGGACGUGCUAAUCUGCGAAAAGCGUCGGUAAGGUGAUAUGAACCGUUACAGCCGGCGAUGUCCGAAUGGGGAAACCCAGUGCAAUUCGUUGCACUAUCGUUAACUGAAUACAUAGGUUAACGAGGCGAACCGGGGGAACUGAAACAUCUAAGUACCCCGAGGAAAAGAAAUCAACCGAGAUUCCCCCAGUAGCGGCGAGCGAACGGGGAGCAGCCCAGAGUCUGAAUCAGCUUGUGUGUUAGUGGAACGGUCUGGAAAGUCCGACGGUACAGGGUGAUAGUCCCGUACACCAAAAUGCACAGGUUGUGAACUCGAAGAGUAGGGCGGGACACGUGGUAUCCUGUCUGAAUAUGGGGGGACCAUCCUCCAAGGCUAAAUACUCCUGACUGACCGAUAGUGAACCAGUACCGUGAGGGAAAGGCGAAAAGAACCCCGGCGAGGGGAGUGAAAAAGAACCUGAAACCGUGUACGUACAAGCAGUGGGAGCACCUUAGGGUGUGACUGCGUACCUUUUGUAUAAUGGGUCAGCGACUUAUAUUCUGUAGCAAGGUUAACCGUAUAGGGGAGCCGCAGGGAAACCGAGUCUUAACUGGGCGUUAAGUUGCAGGGUAUAGACCCGAAACCCGGUGAUCUAGCCAUGGGCAGGUUGAAGGUUGGGUAACACUAACUGGAGGACCGAACCGACUAAUGUUGAAAAAUUAGCGGAUGACUUGUGGCUGGGGGUGAAAGGCCAAUCAAACCGGGAGAUAGCUGGUUCUCCCCGAAAGCUAUUUAGGUAGCGCCUCGUGAACUCAUCUUCGGGGGUAGAGCACUGUUUCGGCUAGGGGGUCAUCCCGACUUACCAACCCGAUGCAAACUACGAAUACCGAAGAAUGUUAUCACGGGAGACACACGGCGGGUGCUAACGUCCGUCGUGAAGAGGGAAACAACCCAGACCGCCAGCUAAGGUCCCAAAGUCAUGGUUAAGUGGGAAACGAUGUGGGAAGGCACAGACAGCCAGGAUGUUGGCUUAGAAGCAGCCAUCAUUUAAAGAAAGCGUAAUAGCUCACUGGUCGAGUCGGCCUGCGCGGAAGAUGUAACGGGGCUAAACCAUGCACCGAAGCUGCGGCAGCGACACUAUGUGUUGUUGGGUAGGGGAGCGUUCUGUAAGCCUGCGAAGGUGACCUGUGAGGGUUGCUGGAGGUAUCAGAAGUGCGAAUGCUGACAUAAGUAACGAUAAAGCGGGUGAAAAGCCCGCUCGCCGGAAGACCAAGGGUUCCUGUCCAACGUUAAUCGGGGCAGGGUGAGUCGACCCCUAAGGCGAGGCCGAAAGGCGUAGUCGAUGGGAAACAGGUUAAUAUUCCUGUACUUGGUGUUACUGCGAAGGGGGGACGGAGAAGGCUAUGUUAGCCGGGCGACGGUUGUCCCGGUUUAAGCAUGUAGGCUGGUUAUCCAGGCAAAUCCGGAUAAUCAAGGCUGAGGUGUGAUGACGAGGUACUACGGUGCUGAAGUAACAAAUGCCCUGCUUCCAGGAAAAGCCUCUAAGCAUCAGGUAACAUCAAAUCGUACCCCAAACCGACACAGGUGGUCAGGUAGAGAAUACCAAGGCGCUUGAGAGAACUCGGGUGAAGGAACUAGGCAAAAUGGUGCCGUAACUUCGGGAGAAGGCACGCUGGUGUGUAGGUGAAGCCCCUGCGGGUGGAGCUGAGACCAGUCGAAGAUACCAGCUGGCUGCAACUGUUUAUUAAAAACACAGCACUGUGCAAACACGAAAGUGGACGUAUACGGUGUGACGCCUGCCCGGUGCCGGAAGGUUAAUUGAUGGGGUUAUCCGUAAGGAGAAGCUCUUGAUCGAAGCCCCGGUAAACGGCGGCCGUAACUAUAACGGUCCUAAGGUAGCGAAAUUCCUUGUCGGGUAAGUUCCGACCUGCACGAAUGGCGUAAUGAUGGCCAGGCUGUCUCCACCCGAGACUCAGUGAAAUUGAACUCGCUGUGAAGAUGCAGUGUACCCGCGGCAAGACGGAAAGACCCCGUGAACCUUUACUAUAGCUUGACACUGAACAUUGAGCCUUGAUGUGUAGGAUAGGUGGGAGGCUUUGAAGCGUGGACGCCAGUCUGCGUGGAGCCAACCUUGAAAUACCACCCUUUAAUGUUUGAUGUUCUAACGUUGGCCCCUAAUCGGGGUUGCGGACAGUGUCUGGUGGGUAGUUUGACUGGGGCGGUCUCCUCCCAAAGCGUAACGGAGGAGCACGAAGGUUAGCUAAUCCUGGUCGGACAUCAGGAGGUUAGUGCAAUGGCAUAAGCUAGCUUGACUGCGAGCGUGACGGCGCGAGCAGGUGCGAAAGCAGGUCAUAGUGAUCCGGUGGUUCUGAAUGGAAGGGCCAUCGCUCAACGGAUAAAAGGUACUCCGGGGAUAACAGGCUGAUACCGCCCAAGAGUUCAUAUCGACGGCGGUGUUUGGCACCUCGAUGUCGGCUCAUCACAUCCUGGGGCUGAAGUAGGUCCCAAGGGUAUGGCUGUUCGCCAUUUAAAGUGGUACGCGAGCUGGGUUUAGAACGUCGUGAGACAGUUCGGUCCCUAUCUGCCGUGGGCGCUGGAGAAUUGAGGGGGGCUGCUCCUAGUACGAGAGGACCGGAGUGGACGCAUCACUGGUGUUCGGGUUGUCAUGCCAAUGGCACUGCCCGGUAGCUAAAUGCGGAAGAGAUAAGUGCUGAAAGCAUCUAAGCACGAAACUUGCCCCGAGAUGAGUUCUCCCUGAGACUUUAAGUCUCCUGAAGGAACGUUGAAGACGACGACGUUGAUAGGCCGGGUGUGUAAGCGCAGCGAUGCGUUGAGCUAACCGGUACUAAUGAACCGUGAGGCUUAACCUUACAACGCCGAAG
rnacentral:rRNA from 1 species